UCCGAACUAUAGGCAUGUAAACACUUUCAAACCAUGAUUUAAUUCAAGGCUCUCACUUCAGUAAAAUAGCAAGAAAGGGGGGAAAGGGGAAAUGACUUAAACACAUACUGAAUAAAUUAAUCCUUUUAUGCACCUAUUUACGGGAUGAAUCUGACCAUUCAAAAGGCCAGAUUCACUGUCCUUUUGUGCUAUUAUAUGAGAGGGAUUUAGAUAUAGUUUCAUGGGCAUAUGCACUGAUUCAGACCUUAUAUUAUACUUAUGCCUUGGACUCAAACAUUCCCAGAAUAUCGAAAUAGAUUCUCAAACACAAAAAAAAAUAAACAGAUGAGAGACAAUAUUGUAAAAGGUCUCCAUUUCGAAAUCAACCUCAAAUUUACAUGAUUACUACAUCACAACAAACAUAUAAAGCAUAAAAGGAUACAAAGGUGGAACCAACCAAACAUGUGAGUCUACGGUGUGUACCUUUAGCAGCAAAAUAGACAAUAGAACUUUAUCCAAGGACUAAAGUUCAGCAGCAGACAGCAGCAGUAACUAAGCAAAAAAAAAAGAGUCCAGAGAUUCAGAUAGCAAAACAAAAACCAGCUUCAAACCAGAAAUUCCAACUAGAGAACUAGGGAAAUUUUCUAUUCAAACCAUGUUCUUGAUUUACACAGAAUCAGAAAAAUAAGAAAAGAUUUUUUGAGUUUUUUUAGAAUUGUGGAAUCUAAAGUUUUCAAUGCAGGGAAUGUUUUGCAGUAAUUUUU
rnacentral:lncRNA from 1 species